rnacentral:SRP_RNA from 1 species
GCCGGGCACGGUGGCAGGUGCCUGUAGUCUCAGCUACUAGGGAGGCUGAGGUGGGAGGAUCGCUUGAGCCCAGGAGUUCUGGGCUGUAGUGCGCUAUGGCGGAUCGGGUGUCUGUACUAAGUUCGGCAUCAAAAUGGUGAACUUGCAGGAGCGGGGGACCACCAGGUUGCCUAAGGAGGGGUGAACUGGCCCAGGUUGGAAACGGAGCAGGUCAAAACUCCUGUGCUGAUUAGUAGUGGGAUCGUGCCUGUGAAUAGCCACUGAACUCCAGCCUGGGCAACAUAGUGAGACCCCGUCUCU